GGGCCUUAUGGGUCUUCUGAAGCUUAUAUGGAGUAUCAUUAGACCUUUUAAAGUGGAGAAAUUACUGUUUAAUGGGAAUUUUGAAGUAGCUUGACGAACAGAAACCUUCAUGCUUUUCUGAGUAGGUGAAAUUUCUUUGAGAUGUUUACAAUUGCUGACAGACCCAGGAUGGCACACUUCUACAGGACUUCAGCAGCCCUACUAUAGUGUUUUGUUUCUGGAUUGUGACCAAGGACUUCAAAGCCAGGAGGAAAACUGAGCCAUGCAUGCUGUGGGCUUCGAGCACUGAGCCAGGCAGUACCUGCUGCCCCCUAGCUCCCUGCCAACAUUGACAGCACAGCUCUCCAGUGUCUUCACAAGUGCCCUAAAACAAAUAAUUGGAUAUUUCCUGGUGUAGAGCAUCGCAGCGGGUGCCACACAGCUCCUUUGACGAACCAUAGGCACGCUGCAGCUCACUGCAAUAUCCAGCCACUU